UAUAUGAUUGUAUUUUGGAUGAUGUAUGAUGAUAUUUAUGUAUUGUGUGAAGUGGCGAUUGUAAGCCAACUCUUUAUCCCAUUCUUGUUCAUUACAUGGGAUUGUGUGAAGAUGCCCUUCUUGCGACAAAACCACUAUGCGGUUAUGCCUCUAAGUCGUGCCUCGACACGUGGGAGAUAUAGCCGCAUCGUUGGCGUUACACCCAUUCCGUUAGCUUAGCAUUUGAUCGUUUAGUAUAUUGAUAUUGCUUUCUUCAUGACUUAUACAUGUUCCUAUGACUAUGAGAUUAUGCAACUCCCGGAUACCGGAGGAACACUUUGUGUGCUACCAAAUGUCACAACGUAACUGGAUGAUUAUAAAGGUGCUCUACAGGUGUCUCCGAUGGUACUUGUUGAGUUGGCAUAGAUCAAGAUUAGGAUUUGUCACUCCGAUUGUCGGAGAGGUAUCUCUGGGCCCUCUCGGUAAUGCACAUCACUAUAAGCCUUGCAAGCAAUGCAACUAAUGAGUUAGUUGCGGGAUUAUGUAUUACGGAACGAGUAAAGAGACUUGCCGGUAACGAGAUUGAACUAGGUAUUGAGAUACCAACGAUCGAAUCUCGGGCAAGUAACAUACCGAUGACAAAGGGAACAACAUAUGAUGUUAUGCGGUUUGACCGAUAAAGAUCUUCGUAGAAUAUGUAGGAUCCAAUAUGAGCAUCCAGGUUCUGCUAUUGGUUAUUGACCGGAAACGUGUCUCGGUCAUGUCUACAUAGUUCUCGAACCCGUAGGGUCCGCACGCUUAACAUUCGGUGACGAUCGGUAAUAUGAGUUUAUGUGUUUUGAUGAACCGAAGGUAGUUCGGAGUCCCGGAUAUGAUCACGGACAUGACGAGGAGUCUCUAAAUGGUCGAGACAUAAAGAUCGAUAUAUUGGAAGCCUAUAUUUGGACAUCGGAAUAGUUCCGAGUGAAAUCGGGAUUUUACCAGAGUACCGGGAGGUUACCGGAACCCCCCGGUAAGUGUAUGGGCCUUAUUGGGCCAUAGUGGAGAGAGAGAGGAGACCAGGGCAGGCCGCGCCCCCCCUCUCCCUCCAGUCCGAAUUGGACUAGGAGGGGGGCGACGCCCCCCUUUCCUUCCUCCCUCUCUCCCCCUUCCUUCUCUCCUAGUCCAACUAGGGAAGGGGGGAAUCCUACUCCCGAUGGGAGUAGGACUCCUCCAGGGUGCGCCAUAGGAGGGCCGGCCCUUCCCCCUCCUCCACUCCUUUAUAUAUGUGGCCAAGGGGCACCCCAUAGACACACAAGUUGAUCAGUUGAUCUUUUAGCCGUGUGCGGUGCCCCCCUCCACCAUAAUCCACCUCGGUCAUAUCGUAGCGGUGCUUAGGCGAAGCCCUGCGUUGGUAGCAUCAUCAACACUGUCAUCACGCCGUCGUGCUGACGGAACUCUCCCUCGAAGCUCUAUUGGAUCGUGAGUUCGUGGGACGUCACCGAGCUGAACGUGUGCUGAAAUCGGAGGUGCCGUGUGUUCGGUACUUGGAUCGGUCGGAUCAUGAAGACAUAUGACUACAUCAAUCGUGUUGUCAUAACGCUUCCGCUUACGGUCUACGAGGGUAGACGACACUCUCCCCUCUCGUUGCUAUGCAUCACCAUGAUCUUGCGUGUGCGUAGGAUUUUUUUUGAAAUUACUACGUUCCCCAAUAGAAGGAUGGACGGUCAAUCAUCCACAGGCACUGGCCUAAAGUUACAAAGACCUUCAACAUCAAUGAAGGCUCAAUAUUCUCCUUCUGCUUCAGCAGUUUUCCAGAUGAGAUACAUCUCUCUAUGUACCGUCUAUGAUGCUAAUUUCGAAAAGUUAUAGAUGUUGCAUGUGAAACUUGGUGCUGGUGUAGUUGUGUAAUGGGGUAGUUGACUGCUGAAGCUAUAUGAUGUUGUACUCUGAUGUAUUUCAAUUAUGAAAAUGAAAUAUAUUGUGUGCUUAAUAUGAAAUGUCAAUUAGAUUAAUAAAUGGAUUAUUAAUAAUCGGAUAAUUAGCCUACUAAUUGGGUUUUUCUAUUGCAACGGUUAUUGAGAAAACACCAUGUGCGAUGCAUUCAAUAACGCACACAGUUUCUAGGAAUAAACCGUGUUAGACUAAUGAACAAUCACACACGACAUCCUCUUCAAAACUGUUUGCGUUAGGCCACCUCGCGCAAACGUUUACCACAUAAAAAUUGUGUGUGAUGGACAGCCCUUGACACACAGUUUCUUCUACGCACCAUGUGUGAUGCAUUCAAUAACGCAAACGAUAAAAUUGUUAAUACCGUGUGGAAUGGAAACGCUAUCACAAACGAUUUAACGGGGAAAAUUGUGUGUGAUGUACUUGCGAACAGAAAUGUUUUCCUCGGAGCGACUGUGUGGGAUGUAUAUACGAACGGAAACGUUUAACGGUGACUGACUGUGUGGGAUGUACUUGCGACCGGAAAUGAUUUCGCCUGUAUAAUUGUAUAUUUUUAGCUCUACUAUACGUAUUUCCGUAUUUGAGCGCUCGCCGGUCGCACACGACCUCAUUUUGCCGAGCGUGUGUGCCAGGAGGGCAUAUCCCGACGGUUUCUGGGUCGUGUGGGAAGGACCCCCCUAUCGCCCACACUCACUAGGCGACGGUUCCAAAUGCCGUCGCGGAAAGGGGUUAAAACCCAUUUGUAUAACACCUUGCUAUACUAGUGAGUGGCUUCUUUCCGUCUCUGAAUUGAAAUGCGACCUAACUCUAGGCUGGGCCCGUCUGUGAACUCGGUCUGCCGGUUUAAAUAAUAAAAUUCCAUGAAUAGUUCUACGGUGGGCUCCUGUUGAAGGUACACCUCGCAGAGCACUUGAAAGUUGCAGAUGUUUGAAACGGAAUUUGGUCCGAUAUCGGAUGGAGCUUGAGAAAAUGCAGCACAUCGCAGAAGAUUUUGAGCCGGGAGGGCUGAAACCUUGGAGCAUAUGAUCAGUGAAGACAAUUACUUGACCGUCCUUGGGCUCAGGAGGGGUUUCUGUGCCUGGGACCCUCCAAUGGAUGACAUCUUUUUUGGCCAGGGCGCCUGUUUGAACAUAUUCAGUUAAUUCUUCCUCGGUGACCCGGGAAACGACCCAGUUGCAUGCAGUGACAGUCUUAGGCAUUUUGAGGGUGAAGGCCUAAAUGAAAGAAAUAUUGCCCGUUUAAGAUUAAGCUGCUAAGCCGGACCAUUGAUUCAAAAGAAAAGUGCAAUAAACGGCCAAUGCGUUAAGCCGGAAGAUGAACACUGGAGUACGUGGAUAUUCAUAUUGGCAGCUUAAAAGGGGACUAAUGGUACCUGGCGGGUUAUGUUUUAUUGGUUAAGCCGCCCAAACAGUUGCUAUGUUUCAGAUCUACAAGUGAGGAUUUGCUAAGUAGCGGAAAAACAUAUUCCACAGAUCGACACUACGAUUUUGGAUCUACAAUAGUUUGGAAAAUAAAAUAAAUUUUAUACCUAAAGUGAAGGCAGUAGAAGAAUGCAUGCGUUCAGAUGGAUCUAAUACAGAAAAAGUACCUAUUGCAGUUGGACAAAGGGAUGCUACGCUGCUACCGCACGUUUUCGAUAACAUUUUCAGAUUCAACCGUGCAAUCUGGAGAAGAGUAAAGAAGAACAGAGGGGAACUCCGAUGAACUAGGACUAACCCUAAUGAAGAUCUGCUACGAGGAAGAAGAAGUGCUUACGGAUGCUGCUGGAUAGCGGAGGUACGCCGCGAUGCUCUGGUUCGUUCAGGUCGAUGCAGCGGCCGGAGUUGAGGAAGUUGACGAGGUCGACGGCGGCAGAGCUCGAGCGCGUGCGUGGCGUUGCGAAGAAGAGGAUGAAGACAAGGAGGCAUGGGGGGAAAUGAAAAGGACCCCUGUCCCUAUUUAUAAGGAGAUGGAUAACAAGCAUGCAUGUGAAUCGAGGAGGCCGAAAAAUGAUUAUGUGGCUGCACAGGCGCCUCGAAUUUCGGAAAGUCAAUUAAAGAUGAAGAUCUGUUGAGAUGUUCUGGGCUUCGUGCGAAGUUAAUGCAAGAUGAUGUCAUGGCGGAUUAACAAGAUUCUGUAAGCUGACGUCAUGGCGGGUUAUAGCAAGUUCAUGAAAAUUGACGAUGCAAGAUUCUGCUAAGUCAAGCAUUGAAGAUUGAUGUGAACCAGUUCAAAUCAACUUGGGGCCUAAUGUUGGGGACAUAACUACUGGGUAUGACCCGCCCAGAAGGGGCCGGGUCAUACCACUGGCGACUUAUAAAUGAAGAUGGUGGGUCAUGAAGCAAGCCUAUUGACGGCCCAAGACCCAGAGGCGACUUGAGGCCCAAGAGGAUGAACCGCCAUAUGUGUAACUUGUAAUGUAAGGCAAGCUCAGUUAGUCACCGAGCCGGACACGUUGUGUAUGAGCCGGCUGGGACUUUGUAAGCCGCCGGGCAUCAACCUAUGUAUAUAAAGGGGUGACCCGGCGGCGGGUUAGGGCAAGAGACAAGAGAUCGAGAACUAGGUCAAGCGUAUUCGCUCCCUGGUAAUCGAAACCCAAACAAUACAACCCCAAACUGGAGUAAGUCUUUACCUCGUUGCGAGGGGCCGAAGCAGUAUAAACUCUCUGUGUCCUUUGUUUCGAUUAACCCCUUCAAGAUAACCUAGUUGCGAUGGCUCCACACCUAAGUCCUUUCGCUAAGGCAUCUGCCGUGUUGAGUCCACGACACACUUGCUGCCCGCAAAGCCCUCCAGAGGAUGAGGAAAUUGUGGACAAGAUCUUCAUUUGGGUGCUACCUGGUAUCUCGAACCCAAGUGUCGUUUGUGAGCGCCUCGGCCACGCACCUGUUCUUUCCCCUCGAGCGCUUGAACAGGUCCAGGAACAGAGUGGCAAGGUUUGCAGAGGUGAUCCAUGGUGACUGCCAGAAGGAAGCUAGCUUGCCAUCGCCAAGGGUGACUGUGGUUGCACUAUCAAAUAGGGCUCUGUCUGUUUUGUCACAUGGGAGUUCAGACCCCUUCCAUGGUCUGUCUUCGUUUUGCCAAGUAAGCCACAACCAUCUCAGGCGCAAGGCACUUGAGAACUUCUGCAGGUCGUGUAUACCAAGUCCUCCAUUCUCAGUCGGUGCACAUAUGCUCUUCCAGGCAACCUUGCAUUUUCCUCCGCUGAGCUCCUCCUCCUGUGCCCAUAGAAACUUCUGGCGAACUUUUUCAAUUUCUAUGAACAGAUGUUUGGGCGGCCGUAGAACAGAGAGUGCAAAAGUUGGGAUUGCAGACAGGACGCUUCGGACAAGCACUCUUCUCCCUGCGAUGGACAUCAGCCGGCCCUUCCAACUCGUAAGGCGAGCUCGGGUACGAUCCAGAAUGAACUGAAAAUGAACAAGCCUUGCUCUCCCGAGGCUUAUUGGCAAGCCCAGGUACUUGAUCGGGAAUUCGGCUAUCCGCCCGCCAAAAUUUUGCAGAACGUCCUGGAGAUUGAUGUGAUCACAUCUUAUGGGUGUGACAGUGCAUUUGUUGAUGUUGAGGUGCAGGCCUGAUGCAUCACCGAAGCGAGAUAUGAUGUCCAACAGCUUGUCAAUCUCUUCCUGGUCGGGGUUUGUGUAGAUCACGACGUCGUCAGGAUACAUGCUGGUGCGCAGUUUCAGCUCUCUUCCUAGCAGUGGUGCAAGAAUGCCAUCCUCGGCAGCUUUUGUUAUGAGGCGAUGGAGGACGUCAAUGGCUAGGAUGAACAGCAGCGGGGACAGGGGGUCUCCUUGCCGCAGCCCCCGUCGGUGGAUCAGAGAUGCUCCUUGGUCAUCAUUCAGCAGGAAGGAGGAUGAUGACGACCGGAGCAGCAGGGCGAUCCAGUCCCUCCAACGACUGCUAAAACCCAGUUGCUGGAGCAGCUCAAGAAUGAGUUCCCAGGAUACCGAGUCAAACGCUCGAGCAAUGUCCAGUUUAAUCAGUAAAGCUGGCUUCUUUGUGUGGUGUAGUGAUCGAACUGAGUUUCUGACAUACAGGUAGUUGUCCUGUAAGCAUCUUGAUUUGAGGAACGCACUCUGGGCUGGCAAAAUGAUGGAGGAGAUCUUCUCGGCCAAUCUUAGUGACAGCACCUUGGUAAUGAGCUUUGCUAUGGAAUUGAUUAGAUUAAUGGGCCUAAAAUCCCCCACUGACUCAACUCCAUCUUUCUUGGGCAGCAAGGCCACAAAAGUAGAAUUAAUCUUCGCAAAGUUGGCUCCUGAAAAGCUAUGGAAUUGGUUGAAAACAGCCAUCACCUCAUCUUUUAUGAUAUCCCAGCAGGUCCUGAAAAACUGCCCGUUGAAGUCGUCUGGCCCCGGCGCCUUCUCCGCCGGCGAGGCCAGAAUUGCGUUCCAAAUCUCGGCUUCUGUGAAAGGGGCGUCUAGACCAUCGGCUUGAAUAGUUGGCAGUUGAAUCCCAACCCAGUUAAUGGUGCAUCCUUUGGGCUCGGCAGCUCCCAUGAUCUUGUUGAAGUGCUCACAGAUGAUGUUGGCCUUCUCAUCAUGCUCGAUCGCCACAUGGUCAUCGGUCCGCAGGGAGUGUAUGAAAUUUUUCCUCUUCCUGGAGCAAAUUUUGGCGUUGAAGAAGGCAGUAUUAGCGUCACCAGCCUUUAGCCAGGUUAUCCGAGAGGCCUGGCGCCGCCGACCUCUUUCAACUGCAGCAAGGCCGAUUAUUCUUUGCUUCCGGAGCUUUCCGAGGUUGAAUUCAACCGGGGUUAACUGACACUUUUCCAUCGCCAUAUCAAACCUCAGGAUUAUCUCUGAUGCAAUGUGAAACUGCAAUCUGGUGUCGCUGAACAUGCUGCAGCUCCAAAUCUUGAGAUCUUUGGCCACCCUUUCAAGUCUCCUUUUGAUUUUGCUGAAGGCGCAUGUUUGGGUGGCAGGGCGUUGCCAUGCCCGCUGCACUGUUUCCCUGAAGUGUGGAAACUUGAUCCAGAAACUUUCGGAACAAAAUCUUGCCUGCCUUGGAGGAGCGGUAGCACUGGCCAGGAUCAGACGGCAGUGAUCCGAGCAUGACGUGGACGCAGCGACGAGCAUGAAGGAGGGGAAAAGGGCCUCCCAUUCUAGGCUGACGAAGAACUUGUCGAUGCUAACUAACGUGGGCGAUUCCCUCUCAUUGCUCCAAGUAAACCUCCUAUUCUUGCACUUGAUUUCUUUUAGUGCCGCCGAGUCUAAUGCCGUUCUAAAUCUACUCAUCAUUCUUCUAUUAAUAUUGAGGUUAUUUUUGUCCCUCGCUUCGUAGAUGACGUUGAAAUCCCCAUUAAUGAGCCAUGGAGUGCCUAAAGGGGGGGCGUGCUAGCUAAUUCGGCCAAGAAAGCCUCCUUGUUCGUGCCAUCGGAGGGGCCGUAGACCGUGGUGAGCACAAAACUAGUAGCCGUGCUAGCUAGAGUUACAGUGGCCGUGAUCGAGAAUUGACCGACGGCCUGGGAGCAGACAGACACAAGGUCCCUGUUCCAGAAGAUCACGACGCCUCCCCUAGAUCCUAUCGCCAGAAGAACUACGCAGUCUUUCAUCCAACUACCUCCGAUGUCGCUAACCAUGGCUUAAGUCCAUGUAUCUAUCUUAGUUUCCUGGAUAUAGAGGACAGCAAGUCGCUGCGCAACCCCUACUUCUCUAACUGUUUCCCGCUUUGCCACGAAGUUCAGUCCCUGGAUAUUCCAGGACAUGAUCGCACAGUUGAUGUUACUCAUGGGGACACUUGAGGAUUCUCCAGAGAAUAAAAUUACUAAGAAGGUAGAAGUACACAUCAACUACAACCGUGGCAUGUCGACCGACACCAAUAGGCCCCAACCCCAGUCGACAUGGGAACUUUCCCUCUAUCCAAGCACUAAUCAUGGGUCCUAACUUAAGCCAGUCGAGGUCUGAUCGCCUCUGAAGACUACACCUAAGUUGCAGCAACAUAAUCUGAGCUUCAUCCCCAAGGGGAGCUCCAUCAGGGCUAGCGAGGCCGGCGGCAAUGCGAAGAGCAGCAGGGUCCUGGCGCGUGAGCUUCGCCAAGCCGAUGAUGUCAUCUUCAGUGAGUGACUCAUCAAACUUCUUGAUCAGGGCCUUGGCCGCCUUUGGGGUCAUCUUGUCGUUCGGCCCGAGCAGCCCGAGGUCCCGGAUGAUGCGCAACGUUGCGCGGUGUGCCACCGGCACCUCUGUGUGGUUGCUAGCCUGCCGGGCACUCUGUCGUACCAGAGCUGAAGCAAUCCUCGUCUUCUUGGGUGCAGAUGGGCGUGGCGGGGGGAGCAGGGGCACCGAGACGUCAGCAAAGAGAAGUUGGCAAGCCUAAGGGAAUUUUGCCACACUUUUUUUGUGUAUGCCAUGUGAGACCAAGUGUGGCUUGCCUAAGGUUUGUCUGGAACCAAACACUUGCCUAAAUUGGUCAAACUUGCCUAAUCUUAGAUGUCAGAUGGGCGUGGCGGGGGGAGCAGGGGCACCGAGACGUCAGCAAAGAGAAGUUGGCAAGCCUAAGGGAAUUUUACCACACUUUUUGUGUGUAUGCCAUGUGAGACCCAAGUGUAGCUUGCCUAAGGUGUGUCUGGAACCAAACACUUGCCUAAAUUGGUCAAACUUGCCAAACCUUAGAUGUGGCAAUCUUUGGCAAAGUUAGUACAAACCAAACGGCCCCAAAAUGGAGCAAAGUUUAUAAUGUUUUUGGGGUAAAAUUUUCGAUCUAUUCAUCAAACAUCACGACAGUACAAAAAACACGAGAAGUUACAAAAAAUUGCAUCCAUGUAUGUAGACCUCGAGCGACAACUACAAACACUAGAGUGAGGCGAAGGUGCGUCGUUGUCAUCGCUCCUCCCUCACCGGAGUCGGACAAACUAUGUUCUAGUGAACAGUCAAGAAGCCGUUAUGCUAAGGCCCAAAAGGACUAGCACCCCAGAACAACAUUCGUCGCCGAUGACGAGAAGCAUAGACUUGUAGACGUAACACAGACGGACGAAGAUCAAAUCCACAUAAAUCUACCAAAGACAACAAAAUCCCGCAAGAUCCGUUGGGACGUGAGACGCACUGCGGGGACAAAUCCUAGGCGGGUAGAACCUUAUUCCAUCGUUAAAGAAGCGCCGCUGCCUUGCCUUCCUUAGCAAUACUUAAAAUGAAGCAUGAGCCCUCCCGCCAACAAAGGACAGAAUCCACCGUGCCUCCAUGACCCUAAUGACACAGGAGACGAGCCAGAUUAGCGACGACGCUGGCAGGAGGCAGGGAAACCCAAAAUACCUAGGAUCCUUUAUUUCUUUCUCAAGAUGAAAGAAAACACAUGUACCACAUGUGUUCCAUUCAGUAGGAUACAACUAUAAAUUCUAUUUGUAUAUGCAUAUCAUGCAAAACUAAACAGGGAAACAACAAAAAUGUUUCAAGACACACAAGCUCAUACAUAUGCAUAUAGACUCACUUGAAUGAAUGUACGCACGCAUGCUCUAUCCCUAUGAGCACCUCUGAGAGACUGAACCAACACAUUAUUUUGAGAUUGACGAAGCCGCCACUGACGCCUCCGUAGUCGACGAAAAUGUCUCCUCCCACAGAACGAAUAUCCUCAGGAACCUUAAAAUAAAUCCAGAAAAAUGGAAGCAGCAGUGUCAAGUCUAUGAUUAAACCAUGAUGGACCGGUUCCAUCCAAAAAAAACUAACCAUGUUAGCUCGUCUCUGGGAAACCCAUAUUUUGCUAACCCUAAAGUGAGCAUGUACCUCACCCCAGCCUUGAACUCAAGAAAGAUGUAGGCCUUUCCACGCAGGUCCUCUGUUUCCAUCAGUCCACAAAGUACCGAGCAUCUGAUCGUGGUGACUUUCGCAAAGCCGGUAGGGUGGUGAUUUGUUUAGCCACAAAGUUAAACCGCCCCCGUCGUUUGACCGAGAUUCUCUGCCCCCCGUUUAACAAAAGUCCCCGCGCGAUCGACCUGACACCAUCAGCCCGCGCGCGCCCGGUGCCAUGCCCAUGCGCACCCCCCAAUACAUAAACGGUUGCUCCGUACGCUACGCAUGGCCGCAUCGGCGCCGGCCGACGGAGAGCAUCAUCCUGCGCUCGCUCAUUGGACCGCCGUCUCUGAGCCCUUUUAACUAAAAGAACAGGGGCGGAGGACGCGCGGACACGUACCGGCGGGGGGCGCGCUGGUACGUGGCGUGCGCGCCGGCCGGCCGACGGCGGGCGGGGCGUGGAAAGGUGGCGGGCGGGCGUGGUGCGCCGGUGGGAAUGCGUGACAAACCGAGGGCUACGGAUGGAUGGUGCUGCCACCUUUUGCUGGUUCAUUAACUAAUUGUUGUUCUGAUACGGGCAGAUGAUCCUGCGCUGCGUUUUUCAAAAGUUUUUAUUUGCUCGCGGGUGACGCAACUGACCUGGCCCGGUGCUUCUUGCUCAAGGAAAAGUCCAGCUUCACCGCCGUUCAAAAGGUGAACAUGGAACGACUGCGUUGCGUUUGACUGAGUACUUUCUUCAUCCGAAAUUAGUUGACGCUCAAACGUCUACAUACAUCGGUUUUGAUUUCGGGCGGAGGCAGUAGUAUAUACUCCUACAAUACAACUCACAGGGAACAGAGCACUGCUGUGCAUCGUUAUUACUGGGCAUGUUCCGUCUGUGAAACUGGAGCGCGCCGCACACGGAAAGCGACCUGUGCCGCGCUGCUGCUGCCGCUGGUAACGCUGCGCGCAGAUAGAUUGUUUGUUGCACCUUUUCUCUCUUUUCUUUUCUUUUCUUUUCUUUUCUACUCCCCACCACAGGGACAGAGGCACACAGGCGCUCCUCUCGCACUCGCACUCGCACACGACAGGCAGGGGCAGGGGCAGGAGCGCGCCACCCCACCCGUUUCCCUGUAAAGUUCUGCCGCACCCGCACACAUCAAAAGACUAAACGGAUAAUUAGCCCGGCUAGAUAAUCCUGGGACUAAAUUAACAUGAAACAGUGGAAAUAUUAUGCCUUUUCCUAACCCGAAAAGUAUCAUCGCCGUGUGGUUUUCAUGCAGCAGCAGCUGGGGGCGAGUUAACAUAUUGCUAGUGCGUUGAAGCGAAGGGAAAGAAGAGCAGACGCAGAGGAAAAGGCUAGAGAGAGAGAGAUACUGCUACUACCACGUCCUGCCCACCCCACGUUGAGUCAUUGACAUUGCGACGGAGCAAGCAGGAGGAGGAGGCGGCUUUGGCAGCCACAGAGAGCAGAGAGCAGAGCAGAGCAGCGGCCGAGGAGGAGUUAAUAAUACCACCACCACCCCUUCCAUGGUUCACACGCCACGGCAUCACCAUCAUUGCCGCCUCCUCCUCCCUCCCUCCAUAUCCCCUUCUUUAAUUGCUGCUGCUGCGUUUAAGCCUCCCCCACACCAACCCAACCGCGCCUCUCUCUUCCCCUGCUGCCGCUGCGUACUGCUGGUGGGUUUUUUCGUCCGUGCUCUGCUUCCCGCUGCUUCUCUCUCGCGCCGUCCCGGGGUGCCAAGGAAGUGCAUGGGAAGAAGAAGAAAACACCCAGCCUGAGCGAGCGUCAGACAGACAGUGAGGUCUUCUGCGAGGGCGUGAGGGAGCUAGAGGCUGCCCAACGGAGAGGGAGGGAGGGAGGGAGGUAGAAGAUGAAGUUCAUGAAGCUGGGCUCCAAGCCGGACGCCUUCCAGUCCGGCGGCGCCGACGUCAGGUCAGUCACCCUCUUCCCUUCUUUUCUUUUUUCCUUACCGCUAUCUAGCGUUGCUUCCUUCCUGCUCAAACUGUUUGGUGUCUUACGUUUUUCCUUGGUCGCACCGCCGCUUCUCCGGUUCAUGGCGGCGGAGCAGAACCUCUUCUCGUCCAUCUCCUUCGCCUCUUGUUCUACACGUAGCUAGGCGCGUUUCCCCGCUAGAUUCUUGCCACAGACGCCGUCAUCCUCUUUCUUCUGCUGGCUGGUGCUUCCGGUGAGAAUGAGAUUCUUGCAAGCUUAUUCGUGCCGUGUGCGUCCCUUUGGAAGACCAGAGCUUCUAGAAUGGCGGCCGUUCGGGAACCGCUCUUCUUGCAUCACCACCUUCUUACUCCGACUGUCAUGCUUGCCCAGUAACCAAUCUCUCCGUCUCCUCGCGCCUCUUCCUCUACCAGUUUAUGUCGAGUUUUGGGCCUGGCAUUGCACUUGGAUCUUGGUUAGUCCCUUGUUCGAUUGCUAAUGCACCAUAUAAUAACUGUUUCAUUUCGAGUCACGGCGUGAGUUGACUAUGGGUUCUUGGGAAGUGCAGAGUGCUAGGCUGUGUGCGCCGUUUCUAUCUAUCUCUACCAGUUUCUGCCUUGUCCUGUCCCCUCUGCCUGCCUUCUUUUGUUUAUGCUUCCUACAUGUGUGGCUCUCUACGCUUCUCUCAACUGGAUCUAGCACUAUGAUACCACUAGUAGCAGAACGGAGUUUCUCCAACUGAUCCCUCGAGCUGGCAUUCCUUGUUUCUCUCGGGAUUAGUUGUUCGUGUCCAUCCCAUUGUCUUCAUCCUGCACGCUAGCCUGUUAUACGGUUCGGUUUACAGUGACGGGCAGUCCUCUGAUUUAAAAAAUACUCUUGUUGUAAUGUACUGUGGUUCAUUUAUUCAUCCUUGGGUCUCAUUUGAGCUGCAUCCAGCAUUCAUUUGAAAUGUUCUUGUAUCUUUUUCCCGGUGUCCGCCAGUGCUGUGGCUGCCUUUCACCCUCAUACAGAUUGCAAGGCAUCAUUUGCUCGCCCAAAAGAAUGAUUGACUUCCUUUUGUCUUUUAAAUCCGAAGAUGCAGCACUUGUUUUCUCUCCUCUUUGCUAGUGCGGAAUAGAUCUGAGUGCUAGGGGCAAUGCGCUGAGCGCCAGUAUUAAUAUAAGGUAGAUGCCACUACGUCCUGCUGUUCGUCUCAGGCAACUUGGUUAAAGUUGGCCAGGGUUAAGUUAUUGUCAAGGAAGGGAGAAAACAAUUGUCAUCUCCCCGUCUCACUAAUCAUUGAUCAGACCUCACUUUCCCUUCGGUUAAUCUAAAGAAUCCAGCAUUCUUUUCUCUGAAUGCCAAGUGCUAGUGGUAAAAAAGAAAUGGGUUUAAAGCAGAGCUUGAGCCUGACAUAUGUAUCUUCUUGGCAAGGUGCUUUUGUAGCCAGUUAACUAGAUGAAGAAACAUUGGAAAGGGAUGGUGUCAAGCUCAAGUUGAGAGCCUGUGGGAUUUCUGGACCUUGUUAAUUACUCCCUCCGUUCCAAAAUAGAUGACUCAACUUUGUACUAACUUUAAUACAAAAUUAGUACAAAGUUGGGUCAUCUAUUUUAGAAUGGAGGGAGUACUAAUGAUUAUUAGUGCACUAAUGAUUAUUAGUGGCCAGCUGAUCGCAUGCAUACGUGUCCUGUUCACCAACUCCAGACCCCUAGUGUUCUGCUUCUUCCCUUUGCUGAACUGGAUAACUGGAAAGCGAGCCGCGCAGUCUAGUUUAACUGCCACUGCAUGUUUUUCCUCCAUUAUUGAUGUGUUGUUGAUGUAGUGGAGGUCUUUACAGCUUAGGAUAAGCUUCAUGUCUACGCUGUUGUCAUGUGUUUUGAGAGAGCGACUAGUCAAUGGUUUAUGGGUGACGGUCGAUACGAGGUCGGGCAUGUGUAAUCGACUGUGUUAACGUAAUCUCAGAUGGUUUUUUUGAUUCAGAUAGUUUUGACAUUUUCCUGAGGUUCUCCACAAUCGAUACAUGUUGCGUAAACAAAAUUGGUAUGUGCGAUUUCGCGGUGAAAGCCUUAUAGGAGCCUUGUAGGAGCGUUAGGCGGGUAGGAGAACUACUUGUAUAAAAACUAAAUCUCUGUAAUGUUACCAUGGCUACCAAAGAGUGUUUCUGUAUUCUGUUUCGUAAUAUGAUAUGCUCACAAGUUUGUUGAUGCGUGCAGAUUGGUGGUCUCUGACCUUGCAACAGAUGUCAUUGUGCAUAUCGGUGAAGUCAGAUUCUACUUACACAAGGUCAGUGUGCUAGUAUUUUCAGCAAUUUUUGCUGAAGUCAACACUAAGCAUUUAUAUUUGCUUCUACAAAUAACGGCCAAGGGUGGUGGAAGUAGAUAUGUGUUACAUCCUGGAGCACGUAGUUCUUCAGACAUAGAAUGUUCAACUGUCGGGGUCUCUUUGUCAUGCCAUCAAGAGUAGUAACAUCAUCAACAUUUAUGCUUCACGUCUGAUUGCUGUUGGGCUGUCUCUUUCCAAUCUACUGGAUCCUGUUUCACACACAAAUUAUUUUUACUGCCAAGCUGAUUAUCAACACCACCUUAAAAUAUUUCUGAUGGCAUAGGCAAUCUAACCAAACAAAUCAAAGAAUCAUCCAUUACAUUUAUGUUACCAUUCUUCAACCUAACAACACCUUAUAGCAACCCUAUGCCGUUUAUUUCUUAACUAGGUCUGCUUAUAGCUUAAAGUAAAGAAAGUGGAUUGUGCUAUCAAAGUGUGUUGAAUCAAGUAAAACCUACCUGCAUGGAGCACUUCGGUACUUAAUAUUGGUGCUGGUAAACUUUAAUUUUACCAGGGCAUCAGUUAGCUAUUUAAAACUUGCCUAAAUUUUAGGGUUGUUUCAGACUCCCAUGACAAUAAUUCAACUGAAAACACUGCUGAAGGAAAGAAUACCCUAAUAGAAUUUGCAUAGAUACAAGCUUAAUCAUUUUCAUGAAUUGUUUGGCAUUUUGUCACCGAGUGUUGUAAUCACCAGUGCUGCAUUAUGUAAAUGACUUAUUUUCUAGCUGGUGAUAACUCAUAUGCAGAACAAUAUCUGAUUAUCAUUCAUGACUGAAAAUUUAUGUUUGUGUUGAUUGUCGUAUGCAGUUUCCCCUUCUGUCCAAGAGCAGCAAGCUUCAGAAGCUAGUCCUUAAGGCUACUGAGAAAGGGACAGAUGACGUCCACAUAGAUGAUUUACCGGGGGGAGCGAAAGGGUUUGAAAUAUGUGCAAAAUUCUGCUAUGGGAUGGUUGUCACCCUCAGUCCCCACAAUGUUGUUGCAGCAAGAUGUGCAGCAGAGUACCUUGGAAUGACUGAAGAUAUGGACAAAGGGAACUUGAUAUUCAAAAUCGAGGUCUUCAUAAACUCCAGCAUCCUCCGGAGCUGGAAAGAUUCGAUCAUUGUUCUCCUGAGCACGAAGGCACUAUUACCUUGGUCUGAGGAGCUGAAGGUUGUCGGUAGAUGUAUAGAUGCCAUUGCUUCAAAGACAUCUGUGGAUCCUGCAAAUGUAUCCUGGUCAUACAGUUAUAAUAAGAAAGGAGUAGCAUGCACUGAAAUAAUUGAGUCGGCAGGAAAAACAUCGGUAGCUCCCAAAGACUGGUGGGUCGAGGACUUGUGUGAAUUGGAUGUUGAUCUCUACAAGAGAGUGAUGGUUGCUAUCAAAUCCAAGGGGAGGAUGUCACCUGACUUGAUAGGAGAAGCCCUCAAAGCCUAUGCAGUUAGGUGGCUGCCAGACUCUUACGACGCUCUGGUCGCUGAUGAUUACAUGAGAAGGAACCAAUGCUUGGUGGAGACCAUAAUAUGGUUGCUGCCGUCAGACAAGAGCUCAGGUUGCUCUUGCAGGUUUCUCCUGAAGCUGUUGAAAGUUGCUAUAUUAGUUGGGUCUGGGGAUCAUGUGAAGGAAGAGCUCAUGAGAAGGAUUAGUUUCCAGCUGCACAAAGCUUCGGUUAAGGAUCUCUUGUUGCCUGCUGCUUCCCCCAGUGAGGGAAUGCAUGAUGUUCGGUUGGUCCAUAAUCUUGUCCAGAGAUUUGUCGCAAGAACAGCACUAUCUCACAAUGGCGAUUUUGUCGAGAAAUCUGAUGAGAAAAUGAUUGAGCUCAACUUUGAGCAAGAAUCCACUUUGGCUCUAGGGGAGUUGGUUGAUGGGUACCUAUCCGAAGUAGCUGCAGAUCCAGACCUUGAAUUCUCCAACUUUGUAGAACUAGCUACGGCGGUGCCAGAAGCAGCUAGACCUGUUCAUGACGGCCUAUACUACGCGGUUGAUGCGUAUAUCAAGGUAUGUUCAAUGCACUUGAUGAACCUAAAUUUGCUCAAUGGUUGCUGUCAGUACUUUUUGCUAUACGAUGAAUGAACACUUGAUGCUAAUAAACUUACAAAUCGGAAACAUAGUUAUACUAGUCUUUGGUAAGCAUGGAAGCAGACUUGAUAAAUCACCUGUAUGCUAUCUCACCUUUAGAAGACCAUAACCGCACCUGAUCAUUUGCUUCUUUCUAACCAGGAACAUCCAGACAUAAACAAAGCAGACAAAAAGAAGAUUUGCGGCCUGAUAGAUGUCAAGAAGCUUUCCACAGAUGCAUGCGUGCACGCCACACAAAACGACCGCCUGCCUCUCCGGGUGGUGGUGCAGGUCCUCUUCUUCCAGCAGCUGAGGGCGGGUUCAAGCAGUGUACCAGCUCCAACUGACGGCGGAGAGCAUGCUUGUGCAAAGCCUGUGCAGGAACAAAGCGAGCACUGCGAAAGGCGGAUACCCAGGCACCCGAACAAGCUGGAUAAGCAAGUGACAAGCCUAAGCGCGAGAGGAGAGGGCGAGGACCGGCACGUCGAGCUCAGGGGAGGCAGAAACAGCUUCAAGGAUCAAGUUGUUGGCAGAAACAGCUUCAAGGACCAGGUUGUUGGCAGAAACAGCUUCAAGGACCAACUGGGAGGCCUCCUGCUGCAGUCGCGGUCGAGGAGGAUAUUCGACAAGCUAUGGAGCAGCAAGGGGCAUGGAGAGAACGGCAAGGGUUCAGAGACGUCCGGCAGCUCACAGAGCCCGCCAUCGACGGCAAAGCCCACGGAAGUGAAGCCCUCUCCUCUCCCCCCUCUUAGGAACAGAAGGUAUUCUGUUUCGUAGGGGCUCUUCUUACUGCUUCCCCAUCUUGUUUUAGUUUAGCUUUGGGUUAGGUUUGUACAGGAAAGAGAAGUUAUCAGCUGAUGCUCAUCAUUUUUGUUUGCUCCUUGCCCUUGUCAAUGAAGAGAAAAUAUGUGAGGGAGGACUGUAAGCAGCUCAAUAUGCUGCUCUCUGUAUGGUGGUUAUCUAAGGCAUAGGCCUGUAGCUUACCGGUGAGGAAAGAUCUACUAGGGUUUGUUCUUCUCUGAAAUGUUUAUGAAGAACAAGAUAAAAGGGUUUGUGUCAAACACUCUCGAAUACUAGCAUCAGAUUGCAGGACACAAAGAACAUGGAUUACAAUGAUUGCAGUACUAUAUUUUUCAUUUGAGGUCGAUGUGACCCAAAGUGGCUUCUAUCUAAACCAUUACUGAUUCUGCCAUCUCAAAUCAGAAUGUUUUCAGGAUUCGGCGAACCAGCGUCACAUGAAUAUUGUUAUUUUCCAAUCAAUCUUUCUGCAUUUAGCCCUAAAAUGGAACUUGCAAUCUUGAAUUCAGGAAAGAGUGACAGAGACACAACCCAAAAUUCAGAUGAUAUAUGGCAGAGCUAAUAACAGAGGCAGAUAAACUUGCGAGUAGUUUUGUCAAAUCAUAUAGGCAGAUAACAUGGAAGACAGCCCCUCCCACUAAGCAAAGCUAGUUUGUUAUUAUCUCUUUGCAACACAGGUUCCAUGCCACCAAUGGUCACUUCUCUCAGGACGCAAGCGUUUCCAUUACAGCUUAACUAG
rnacentral:lncRNA from 1 species